rnacentral:rRNA from 1 species
UGAUGGCGAGUGGCGAACGGGUGAGUAACAUAUCGGAACGUGCCCAGUCGUGGGGGAUAACGUAGCGAAAGUUACGCUAAUACCGCAUACGAUCUACGGAUGAAAGCGGGGGAUCGCAAGACCUCGCGCGAUUGGAGCGGCCGAUGUUAGAUUAGGUAGUUGGUGGGGUAAAGGCUCACCAAGCCGACGAUCAGUAGCUGGUCUGAGAGGACGAUCAGCCACACUGGAACUGAGACACGGUCCAGACUCC